rnacentral:rRNA from 1 species
GACGAACGCUGGCGGCGUGCUUAACACAUGCAAGUCGAACGAUGAACCGGAGCUUGCUCCGGGGAUUAGUGGCGAACGGUGAGUAACACGUGGGCAACCUGCCCCCAGACACCGGGAUAAACCUUCCGAAAGGAUGGCUAAUACCGGAUACGACCACUUCGGGCAUCCGACGGUGGUGGAAAGGAUUCUGGUCUGGGAUGGGCCCGCGGCCUAUCAGCUUGUUGGUGGGGUAAUGGCCUACCAAGGCGACGACGGGUAGCCGGCCUGAGAGGGCGACCGGCCACACUGGGACUGAGACACGGCCCAGACUCCUACGGGAGGCAGCAGUGGGGAAUAUUGCGC